GGUAAAAUGGCUGAGUUUAGGCAAUAAAUUGUAAAUUUAUUAACGAAUUAAUAUUCUUUUACCA
rnacentral:tRNA from 1 species